rnacentral:rRNA from 1 species
GGAUGCGAUCAUACCAGCACUAAAGCACCGGAUCCCAUCAGAACUCCGAAGUUAAGCAUGCUUGGGCAAGAGUAGUACUAGGAUGGGUGACCUCCUGGGAAGUCCUCGUGUUGCAUUCC